rnacentral:misc_RNA from 1 species
UCUCCGUUGGUGAACCGGCGGAGGGAUCAUUACCGAGUUUACAACUCCCAAACCCCAUGUGAACCCUACCAAACGUUGCUUCGGCGGGAUGCCCCGGGCGCGGGCCGCAAGGCCUCAGCCCCGGAACCAGGCGCCCGCCGGAGGCCCAAACCAAACUCUUGUUUUUGUAGAAUCUUCUGAGUGGCCUUUUAGGCAAAAAAUGAAUCAAAACUUUCAACAACGGAUCUCUUGGUUCUG